CGGUUAAAAAGCUCGUAGUUGGAUUUCUGUCGAGGGCGGGCGGUCCGCACUAUGUGCGUGUAUCUUGUUCGGUCUUGGCAUCCUCUUGGGGAAUGCUUCUGUGCUUGAUUGCAUGGGGUGGAAUCCAAGACUUUUACUUUGAGGAAAUUAAAGUGUUCACGGCAAGCUACCGCUUUGAAUACAUUAGCAUGGAAUAAUAAUAUAGGGCGUAAGUUCUAUUUUGUUGGUUUCUAGGACAUACGCAAUGAUUAAUAGGGACAAUUGGGGGCAUUCGUAUUAACGCGUCAGAGGUGGAAUUCUUAGAUUGCGUUACGACGAACUACUGCGAAAGCAUUUGCCAAAGAUGUUUUCAUUGAUCAAGAACAAAGUAUGGGGAUCA
rnacentral:rRNA from 1 species